CAUAUACACUUGGGAUACAAUACUACCAGGAGAUAAGUUGAAACACCUUGCAAAUUUUAUAGUACGUCUAAUCAUAGUAUGCCAUUAAUGUUUUGACGUGUUAUUUUUUUAACCGAAUAAACAGCGAAUUAGUCGCGAAAAUUGGCUGAAAACAUAUAAAUACUUUAGGUAAAAUGAUGCAAGAUGAGCAUCUGGGUGGUCCUCCAAGACGAAAUGUUUUUAGUCAAGCAAUAGGAAGAAUAUCACAGUUAUAUCAAAGAUAUUUGGACCUUUGGACUCCUCACGUAGUGUUAAGAUGGACAGUGGCUUUUUUUCUAGUAUUUGUUUUUUCUUUACGUAUACUUUUAUCAGAGGGAUGGUACAUUGUUACAUAUGCACUAGCAAUUUAUCACCUAAAUUUAUUCAUAGCAUUCCUUACUCCUAAAAUUGAUCCUGGAAUGGAUUUUGAUGAUGGUGAAGGACCAGAAUUACCUACAAGAUCUAACGAAGAGUUUAGACCAUUUAUUAGAAGGUUACCUGAAUUUAAAUUCUGGUAUUCUGUGAUGAAAUCUACAAUUAUUGCUAUGAUAUGUACUAUGUUUGAUUGUUUCAAUGUACCAGUAUUUUGGCCCAUACUUGUCAUGUACUUCAUAACACUAUUUUGCAUUACUAUGAAACGUCAAAUAAAGCAUAUGAUCAAAUACAGAUAUUUGCCGUUCACUUAUGGAAAACCAAGUUACCAGAAUCACGAGGAUACUUCGAGGUUAAUACCUUCAAAGUGAAUUGGUGUGAAGUAUGUUUGUUGAUGGAGGUGCAUAAGUGUGUAGAUUUCUAUUUUCCCAGUACCAUGUGAAAAAAAAUUUUUGGAUUUGAAAGCAGUCAGAUUCUUUUAUCAAUGACAUUACAUAUAAAUAAAAUCAUUGCCUUCUACAAGAAAAGGUUUAAUCCAUAAAAGGUGUAACACUAAAAGUAUAAUGUUAUAUGGUAUAUAAACUGAAUUGUCGUAAUAUAUUUGUAUCAUAAAACUUGUACAAAGUAUUGUUAGGUCUUACAUAAAGUGGUCACAAUAACAAUGUGAACAUUACAUCAGUUGUUAAUGUAAUAUUAAAUUAACAUUGGAUGUGAAGGAAAACAAAGAUAAUUCAUAUAUAUAUUAGGAGUCCACUUGUGGAAGUUUGAUGAUGGGUGUCGUAGAAUUUAAACAGGGAAAUUGAUUUCCCUCUGAUUUGAACGCGUUCGUGUUUCUCUUGAGCUGAACAGACGUGAAACGAAGUAAUGAGAUUAAAAAAAUAAUACUAACAAGAAAAAAAAGAAAAGGAGAAUAAAAAAGAACAGAAGGGAAAAUGGAGUGAAGCGAAUGUGGAGGAGGAGAAAGUGGCGAGGCACGAAUGGAACGUGUGAAUGGGCAAGAAUGUGAGGCUACCCUUUUCCCAACGAAAAUGGUAAUUCAAAAUAAAAGCAUCGAUGCAUUGUUGUAUAUCCUCA